rnacentral:lncRNA from 1 species
AGGCCUCCUUAUCUGCCCUGUCCUGCUAUGGGUGAGUCAUCACCACCACAGCCAUGCCCAAUACACUCACGGAGCUGGGCAGUGAGAAGAGAGAACCGAACACACACUUCAUGCAGCAGUCUUCUUUCUCUCCACAGACAGUGCUGCCCAAUGACGAUAAUUCCUCUCUACCAUUUAUUCUAAUUCAAAGAUCAUUUCCCUGGAGACAUAUGAACAGAAGUAGCACUUACGAUAAAAGUACUACAAGCAAUCUACAGAGUACAUGCCAUGGGUGAACAGUGUGUAGUUCCCAUUCAUCUGUAUAGCUCUAUCAAUGUUCAUAGCAGUUCUAUGGGAAGAGAUAAGAGGUAUUAAUAACUUGAUUUUCUUUCAGAUGAAAGUGAAGGUAUAUAGAAGUACUGUAAGCUUGUCCAACUGUUGUAAAAUCAACAACUAAUCAGGUCUGAGAAUUGAACCAAAACCUUAACAAUUGAGCUUCUCUGGCAUUAGACAUGCUUUAGUAUGUGGACUUCCACUGAGGCAAGAGCUACAGCCUUAAGGAAAACUGGUC